UACGUAGGGUGCGAGCGUUAAUCGGAAUUACUGGGCGUAAAGCGUGCGCAGGCGGUUUUGUAAGCCGGAUGUGAAAUCCCCGGGCUUAACCUGGGAAUGGCAUUCGGGACUGCAAGGCUGGAGUGCGGCAGAGGAGACUGGAAUUCCUGGUGUAGCAGUGAAAUGCGUAGAUAUCAGGAGGAACACCGAUGGCGAAGGCGGCUUCCUGG
rnacentral:rRNA from 1 species